GGAUAUAUUAAAAACUACAGCAUAUCCAUCAGAAAGAAACUAAGAAACUAGUGGGAAAAUGAAUACAAGAUAAUAUCAUUGAACCCUCUGUGUCUGAAUGUAAUAGCUCGCUUUUGUUAGUACCAAAAAAAUCACUCCCUGAUUCCGAAGAGAAACAAUGCAGAUUAGUUAUAGACAAAAAUAAAUAAAAAACUGUUAUCCGAAAAAUUUCAACUUCCUAGAAUUGAUGACUUUUUGGAUCAACGACGAAGCAUUUUUCAUGCCUUGACUUAAUGUCAGGUUUUCACCAAAUUUAACUUGAAGAGAGUUCAUGAGAUACAAUGUCAUUUCCAACGAGCAAUGGCUCAUAUUGCUUUACGCGACUAUCUUUUGGGUUAAAUAGCUGGGUUUAAUAGCCUAAUUCAUCGCAGAGAAUGAUGACAAUAGCAUUCUCAGGUUUAGAACCUUCCAAGGAUUCCUUUAUAUGGACAACUUUAUUGUCAUUGGAUGUUCAGAGCAACACAUGACCAAAAACUUAAACAACGUCUUCGAACUGUGUAGGAAAAAUAAUCUGAAGCUACCCUUUUAUUCCAGUAACGUUUUCAAAAAAUAAUAUUAUUUUCCCGAUGUUCUUAUACUAAAGUUUGUUGUACAGAAUAUCGCCUUUCUCAACCAAUUUUAUAAGAAGUCUCUUUCUCAGGUUCCAAUGCGGAUGUAUUUUCGCUUUACCAAAACUUUCAUAGCCAUAAUUUCCUAUUGAUAGUCUUUCCAGUCUAUAUUCGGCUAGUAUUAAAUUAAAUAGGAGUAGGUUAUAUAGGUUAUAUAGGUUACUUAUAUGGUCUUGCCAAAUAAAGCUGGAAAACCAUCGAUGGCACUAUCGAUACUAUCGAUGGUUUUAAGUUUUUUCAAACCAUCGAUGCUUUUCGAAAACAAUCGAACAAUCCGCACUGGCGUCACUAACACUUUGAUACAGCGAAAGAGAUAUAUUAUAGAAAAGAAAUAACUAUUUGAGAAGAUUGGUGGUGUUGGAAGAGGUUGGAGAUGGAUAAAUACUUGAAAAACCCUUUAACAACUGUGGAUAACACGACUCCAAAAUUGGAUCCCUUAAAACGUGGAGGCCCCGAAUAUCUGGAGGCUGAAAAGUCCCUUCCACUAGUUUUGAAGUGUUUUGGAAUUGAAGUUGCAGGAGGAUUUCAGUUACGUUGACAAUGUAUCCAUUUCUACUGAUUGUUGGACCUCGCGUGCUAAUGAGGCGUAUCUCACUAUAACGUAACACUUCAUUAACGAAUGCUAUGAACUUAAAUCAGCAGUUUUGUCGACGCAAAAACUUGUAGAUGCAACUAACCACUGCGCUAGUAAUAUUGCGAACUCACUCAGCGCCGUUUUGAUUGAGUGGAACCUUUUAAAUAAGGUAGUAUCGAUUGUAACAGACAACGACGCGUCUAUGAAAGAAGCGUGCGAAUUAAUGAUGAUAAUAAAUGAAACAUUUACCUUGUGUCUCGCAUACUAUUAAUGUGUUAGUGCAAGAUCUCCUGAAAAUAGAUUCUAUAGUGCCCUUACUAGCAAGGUGUAAGAGAAUCGUAUCGUUUUUCAAAUCGAGUUCAAUCGCAACAAAGAAACUUAAAAAUGCAAAAACUUCUGAUUCACGCUAUGGACUUGUACAAGAAGUUCCAACGCGUUGGAAUAGCGCCUACUAUAUGAUUCAACGGAUUAUUUUAGUAAAUUACUCGCUUUCUGCAGUGCUUCUAAACUCAACCAAAGCUCCAAGUCCAAUAUCAGCGGACGAAAUGAUCGUUCUGGAUGAGAUAUGUCAAGUUCUAGCUCCGUUUCACAGACUGCGCUUGAACGAUUGCCAGAGCGUUUUUCGCAUUACGAAACUCGGACUGUUACUAGAAUUGCUACAUUACUGGAUCCCAGAUUUAAAAAGGACUGUUUUUUGUUUUCAUCGAACUCAGAGCAAGCCGCGAAAGAUUUGCAGUUAGAGUUAUUUUCAAGUUUGUCCCGAGUUCCUUUCACACGUGAUAUUUCAACACCACCAGACACUCCACAAGAAAAAAAAAACAGUUUCUUUACUUAAUUAGGAACGAAACUUUCAAAUAAAUUUCAUUCGGAACUCAAUAAUGCUAUUGAGGACGUAUUUUGCGAGACCUAAUGAGCCGGAGGAUAAGGAUCCCCUUGCUUAUUGGAUGGAAAACAGUGACAGUCUGAAGCCAAUAACUAAACUUUGUAGAAAUUACCUGUGCAUUCCGGCCAGUUCAACAGAAUCUGAUAGAACCUUCAGUAAAGCUGGUCAGAUUGUAUCUGACCGCAGAGCAUCGCUUAAACAAAAGUAGUUUGCUACUUUUUGUGAACAAAAACCAGAAACAAUGAUCUCUUGUUGUCUUAUUAUGAAUAUAAAAAAACAUUAUUUUG